CAUCUGAAAAACUUGCUAGAGCUUAGGGAAAAGUGGAGAGGGGCUGGGGCCCUGGGAGGAGCCCGGUGGUGGUGACCUUUUAGGUCUAGUUGUGGAGGGGUGAGGGUACUGAACUCUGAUUGGUAAGCGCCAGCAGCUUUUUCUGUUAUUAUUGUUUUCUGGUAGUCGCCGCCAUCCUAGAGUCUGGAAGCUAGAGACAGCUUUGGUUUUCGUAUAAGGGUAAUGUUGGCUUCAUGAAAUGAGUUAAGAAAUAUCUCCUCUUCACGUGUUUCGAAAAGUUUGAGAAUAACAGAAACACUCAUGCUUUAUGAUGUACCUGCUACAACAGUCAUGUAUGAAGAAGUGAAGCGAGGGUGGUUCCAGUUCUCUUCAGGGGCUCCCAGCUCCAAUCUGAGUGCCGCCAAGACCUCCAGCAAGCACAUUGUGGGAGAGGAGGCAAGUGUCAUCUAGUGGAUAAAAAUCAGGGAUGCUGAUAAACUUGCUAGAAUUCAC